GUAGAGACAGGUUGAGACAGGUGGAAAGGUUGAGACAGGUAGAGACAGGUAGAGACAGGUAGAGAGGUAGAGACAGGUAGAGACAGAUAGAGAGGUAGAGACAGGUGGAGAGGUAGAGACGGGUAGAGACAGGUAGAGACAGGUAGAGAGGUAGAGACAGGUGGAGAGGUAGAGACAGGUGGAAAGGUAGAGACAGGUGGAGAGGUAGAGACAGGUAGAGAGGUAGAGACAGGUAGAGAGGUAGAGACAGGUAGGGAGGUAGAGACAGGUAGAGAGGUUGAGACAGGUAGAGAAGUAGAGACAGGUAGAGAGGUAGAGACAGGUAAAGAGGUAGAGACAGGUAGAGAGGUAGAGACAGGUAGAGAGGUAGAGACAGGUAGAGAGGUAGAGACAGGUAGACAGGUGGAGAGGUAGAGACAGGUGGAAAGGUAGAGACAGGUAGAGAGGUAGAGACAGGUGGAAAGGUAGAGACAGGUGGAGAGUUAGAGACAGGUAGAGAGGUAGGGAGGUAGAGACAGGUAGAGAGGUUGAGACAGGUAGAGAAGUAGAGACAGGUAAAGAGGUAGAGACAGGUAGAGAGGUAGAGACAGGUAGAGACAGGUGGAGAGGUAGAGAUAGGUGGAGAGGUAGAGACAGGUAGAGACAGGUAGAGAGGUAGAGACAGGUAGAGACAGAUAGAGAAGUAGAGACAGGUAGACAGGUGGAGAGGUAGAGACAGGUGGAGAGGUAGAGACAGGUGGAGAGGUAGAGACAGGUAGAGAAGUAGAGACAGGUAGAGAAGUAGAGACAGGUGGAGAGGUAGAGACAGGUAGAGAGGUAGAGACAGGUAGAGACAGGUGGAGAGGUAGAGACAGGUAGAGAAGUAUAGACAAGUAAAGAGGUAGAGACAGGUGGAGAGGUAGAGGCAGGUGGAGAGGUAGAGACAGGUAGAGAGGUAGAGAGGUAGAGACAGGUAGAGAGGUAGAGACAGGUAGAGAAGUAUAGACAGGUAAAGAGGUAGAGACAGGUAGAGAGGUAGAGACAGGUAGAGAGGUAGAGAGGUAGAGACAGGUAGAGAGGUAGAGACAGGUAGAGAAGUAUAGACAGGUAAAGAGGUAGAGACAGGUAGAGAGGUAGAGACAGGUGGAGAGGUAGAGGUAGAGACAGGUAGAGAGGUAGAGAGGUAGAGACAGGUGGAGAGGUAGAGAGGUAGAGACAGGUGGAGAGGUAGAGAGGUAGAGACAGGUAGAGAGGUAGAGACAGGUAGAGAGGUAGAGACAGGUGGAGAGGUAGAGACAGGUAGAGAGGUAGAGACAGGUGGAGAGGUAGAGAGGUAGAGACAGGUGGAGAAGUAGAGACAGGUAGAGAGGAAUAGCCUGAAACACACUGUGGAAUGAGUGAAUGUGAUAAAGUUAUGUGGAGGAGGAGAGGAGAGGUGUGGUGGAGGUGGAUGAGGAGAGGAGAG
rnacentral:lncRNA from 1 species